rnacentral:rRNA from 1 species
UGGGGAAUUUUGCGCAAUGGGCGAAAGCCUGACGCAGCAACGCCGCGUGUGUGAUGAAGGUCUUCGGAUUGUAAAGCACUUUCGACCGGGACGAACACCUUGAACCUAACACGUUCAAGCCUGACGGUACCGGGAGAAGAAGCACCGGCUAACUCUGUGCCAGCAGCCGCGGUAAUACAGAGGGUGCAAGCGUUGUUCGGAAUUAUUGGGCGUAAAGCGCGUGUAGGCGGCUUUGCAAGUCGGGUGUGAAAGCCCUCGGCUCAACCGAGGAAGUGCGCCCGAAACUGCAGAGCUUGAGUACCGGAGAGGGUGACGGAAUUCCCCAAGUAGAGGUGAAAUUCGUAGAUAUGGGGAGGAACACCGGUGGCGAAGGCGGUCACCUGGACGGAUACUGACGCUGAGACGCGAAAGCGUGGGUAGCAAACAG